AUGAGUCAAUGACAUGAUAUUCCUGUCUGGUUUUGCACCACCUCGGGCUCAUGCAGUGGAGAAGAUCGGCGUGGGCUAUCAGCCUUAUCUCAGGGUGCCUGAGCCCUAGGACCAUGCCUCAGGACUACCUGGCCUGAUGACUCCUGGCUGUCCCCGUCCCCAGUCCAUCUGGUCGUGCUGUUGAUCCUGUUUCUGCUGUUUUGCCUAUGGCUAUGGAACCCUGACUUCUUCACCAGACGUGCUACCUUGUUGUGCUGCUGCUCCAGUUUCAACUGUUCUGCCUGCGGCUAUGGAACCCUGACUUCUUCACCAGACAUGCUACCUUACCGUGCGCUGCUACAGUUUCAACUGUUCUGCCUGCGGCUAUGGAAACCUGACUUGAUCACCGGACGUGCUACCUUUUCCCAGACCUGCUGUUUUCGACUCUCCCUCUCUCUCCCUCUCUCUCCCUCCCUCCCUCUCUACCAAACCUGCUGUCUCAACAACUGAAUGAUUGACUAUGAAAAGCCAACAGACAUCCUAAGGUGAUGACCUGUUGCACACUCUACAACCACUGUGAUUAUUAUUUAUUAUCUAUGAACAAUUGAACAUCUUGAAGAACAAUCUGGCCUUGAUGGCCAUGUACUCUUAAAAUCUCCACCCGGCACAGCCAGAGGAGGACUGGCCACCCCUCAGAGCCUGGUUACUCUCUAGGUUUCUUCCUAGGUUCCUACCUAUCUAGUGAGUUUUUCCUAUUCACGUGCUUCUACAUCUGCAUUGCUUUGCUGGUUGGGGUUUAGGCUGAGUUUCUGUAUAGCACUUUGCGACAUCUGCUGACGAAAAACAGGCUUUAUAAAUACAUUUGAUUUGAUACUGACUACACACCCACUCACAUACAAGUUGCUGCUGCUCUGUUUUUCUUAUAUCCUGUUGCCUAGUCUCUUUACCCCAAUACAUAUCUACCUUCAUUACUCCAGUUUCCCUGCACAUGUAAAUAUGGUAUUGGAACUGACCUUUUAAAUAUUUCCUGUCUAUAGUAUGCUUACUUACUUUAUUGUGUAUUUCUUAUUCUUAUUUCUCGUGGUUUUUUUCUAGUAAUACAUUGUAAUUAAUUAUUGCAUUGUUGGGUUUGCAAGAAAGGCAUUUCACUGUACUUGUGCAUGUGACAUUAAAACUUGAAAGUAGACGCACACACCUUAAUAUGCUACAGUACCAUGGAGGUGCAUGGAGAGGAGUAAAUGCACGUAAUAAAAUAAAAUACGAAUUUGAAACAUUAGUUUAUUAAAUCCAUUACAUUUUAGAAAGAAUCAAGAUUACUCAGUGUGCUGGUGUUGUUCAUGGUGAGUCUAUAGCAGGGGUUGUAACUGGUUCAGGUAACAGAACUGAAAACCGAAAAAGAAAAACAUUUGAAGAGGAAGAGAAACAGAACCGUGAACUAAAGUAAUCUCUAGGGUUCCGGAACAGAAACAUUAUUUUAAAAUCUUGAGAACUGGGUAAUAAUGUUCCUUUUCGUUCCCCAAAAAUAAUCCUUAUGCCUGGUAUACAUACACUCAGUGUACAAAACAUGAAGGACACCGUCCUAAUAUUGAGUUGAAACCCCGUUUUGCCCUCAGAGUGGCCUCAAUUCGUCGGUGCAUUGAUUGUACAAGGUUACAAAAUAAUUCCACAGGUAUGCUGGCCCAUGUUGACUCUAAUGCUUCCCACGGUUGUGUCAAGUUGGCUGGAUGUCCUUUGGGUGGUGGUCUGGAUAUCACAAAAUAAAAACUGAAAAACA